AAAGAAAUCGUUAAGGGCGUAUGGCGGAUGCCUAGGCUUUCAGAGGCGAAGAAGGACGUGGUAAGCUGCGAAAAGCUGCGGGGAUCGGCACACACGAAUUGAUCCGCAGAUGUCCGAAUGGGGCAACCCGGCUGGUUGAAGACCAGUCACUCUAAAUUUAUUUAGAGAGCAAACCAGGAGAACUGAAACAUCUAAGUACCCUGAGGAAAAGAAAUCGAAGAGAUUCCGUAAGUAGCGGCGAGCGAAAGCGGAUUAGCCCAAAAGUCUUUAUAUGUUUAAUAGAAUGUUCUGGAAAGAACAGCCAUAGAGGGUGAUAGCCCCGUACAUGAAAGGCAUACAUAGAUGAUAAAUGAGUAGGGCGGGACACGUGAAAUCCUGUCUGAAUAUGGGGGGACCAUCCUCCAAGGCUAAAUACUCCUGAAAGACCGAUAGUGAACAAGUACUGUGAAGGAAAGGUGAAAAGCACUUCGAAUAGAAGGGUGAAAGAGAACCUGAAACCGUACGCCUACAAGCGGUCGGAGCCCACAAGUUGGGUGACGGCGUGCCUUUUGCAUAAUGAGCCUACGAGUUAAUUUUACUAGCGAGCUUAAGUACUUCAGGUACGGAGGCGGAGCGAAAGCGAGUCUGAAUAGGGCGCUUAGUUAGUAGGAUUAGACGCGAAACCUUGUGAUCUACCCAUGGGCAGGUUGAAGCUUUGGUAACACAAAGUGGAGGACCGAACCGGUUGACGUUGAAAAGUCUUCGGAUGACUUGUGGGUAGGGGUGAAAGGCCAAUCAAACUGGGAGAUAGCUCGUACUCCCCGAAAUGCAUUUAGGUGCAGCGUCGAUGUUAAGUUUAUUAGAGGUAGAGCUACUGAUUGGAUGCGGGGGAGUCAAAUCCUACCAAUUCCUGACAAACUCCGAAUGCUAAUAAAUGUUCGUCGGCAGUGAGGGCAUGGGUGCUAAGGUCCAUGUCCGAGAGGGAAAGAACCCGGACCAACAGCUAAGGUCCCCAAAUCUAUACUAAGUUGAAAUAACGCGGUUGAACUGCAUUGACAGCUAGGAUGUUGGCUUGGAAGCAGCCAUUCAUUUAAAGAGUGCGUAACAGCUCACUAGUCGAGCGGUUCGGCAUGGAUAAUAAUCGGGCAUAAGUAUAGUACCGAAGCUAUGGAUUUAUAACUUUUGAGUUAUAUCUGGUAGGGGAGCAUUCUGUUUGCACAGAAGCCAGGUCGUGAGGCCUGGUGGAGCGUACAGAAAAGAAAAUGUAGGCAUAAGUAACGAUAAAGCGGGCGAGAAACCCGCUCACCGAAAGACUAAGGUUUCCUCAGCCAUGCUAAUCAGCUGAGGGUUAGUCGGGACCUAACGCGAACCCGAAAGGGGAAGUGGAUGGACAUAGGGUUAAUAUUCCCUAACUUGCUCACAUUAAAAAGGGGACGGAUUUACGUACUUGCUGGAGACUGACGGAAUAGUCAAGGCCUAGCCUUCGGGCGAAGCUGCUGCAGGGAAAUAGAUUCCAAGAAAAGCCGAAGUGAAGCAACCCGUACCAAAACCGACACAGGUAGUCGAGGAGAGAAUCCUAAGGUGCUAGAGUGAAUCAUGGUUAAGGAACUAGGCAAAAUAGUCUCGUAACUUCGGAAGAAGAGACGCCAGCAGCAAUGCUGGCCGCAGUGAAGAGGCCCAGGCGACUGUUUAUCAAAAACACAGGACUCUGCUAAAUCGAAAGAUGCUGUAUAGGGUCUGACACCUGCCCGGUGCUGGAAGGUUAAGGAAGGUUGUUAGCAGCAAUGCGAAGCAAUUAACUGAAGCCCCAGUAAACGGCGGCCGUAACUAUAACGGUCCUAAGGUAGCGAAAUUCCUUGUCGGGUAAGUUCCGACCUGCACGAAUGGUGUAACGAUCUGGGCACUGUCUCAACCAUGAGCUCUGUGAAAUUGUAGUAUCGGUGAAGAUGCCGAUUACCCGCAAUGGGACGAAAAGACCCUGUGAACCUUUACUAUAACUUCGUAUUGACUUUGAAUAAACAAUGUGUAGGAUAGGUGGGAGACUUUGAAGCUGGCACGCUAGUGUCGGUGGAGUCAACGUUGAAAUACCACCCUUUGUUUAUUUGGAGCCUAAUCCGCCGUUCGGCGGAGACAUUGCGUGGUGGGUAGUUUGACUGGGGUGGUCGCCUCCAAAAGAGUAACGGAGGCUUUCAAAGGUACCCUCAGCACGCUUGGUAACCGUGCGUAGAGUGUAAUGGCAUAAGGGUGCUUGACUGUGAGACCUACAAGUCGAUCAGGUGCGAAAGCAGGACAUAGUGAUCCGGUGGUUCCGUAUGGAAGGGCCAUCGCUCAUAGGAUAAAAGGUACUCCGGGGAUAACAGGCUAGUCUCCCCCAAGAGCUCACAUCGACGGGGAGGUUCGGCACCUCGAUGUCGGCUCGUCACAUCCUGGGGCUGGAGAAGGUCCCAAGGGUUGGGCUGUUCGCCCAUUAAAGUGGCACGCGAGCUGGGUUCAGAACGUCGUGAGACAGUUCGGUCUCUAUCUAUUGCGGGCGUUAGAUGUUUGAGAGGGCUUGAAUCUAGUACGAGAGGACCGAUUUGAACAAACCUCUGGUGUAUCAGUUGUACCGCCAGGUGCACCGCUGAGUAGCUACGUUUGGUAUGGAUAAGCACUGAAAGCAUAUAAGUGCGAAACCUGCCUCAAGAUGAGACAUCUUUUAAGGGUCGUUGGAGAUGACAACGUUGAUAGGCUAUAGGUGUAAAGACAGUAAUGUCAUAGCCGAGUAGUACUAAUUACCCGUAGAUUUAUAGCC
rfam:Flavobacteriaceae bacterium 3519-10, complete genome.